AUUGAACGCUGGCGGCAGGCCUAACACAUGCAAGUCGAACGAGUGGCGGACGGGUGAGUAAUGUCUGGGAAACUGCCUGAUGGAGGGGGAUAACUACUGGAAACGGUAGCUAAUACCGCAUACCAUCGGAUGUGCCCAGAUGGGAUUAGCUAGUAGGUGGGGUAAAGGCUCACCUAGGCGACGAUCCCUAGAUGGUCUGAUAGGAUGACCGGCAACACUGGAACGGGGACACGGGCCAGACUACUAAGGGAGGCAGGAGUGGGGAAUAUUGCACGAUGGGCGCAAGCCUGAUGCAGCCAUGCCGCGUGUAUGAAGAAGGCCUUCGGGUUGUAAAGUACUGUCAGCGGGGAGGCGUUACCCGCAGAAGAAGCACCGGCUAACUCCGUGCCAGCAGCCGCGGUAAUAC
rnacentral:rRNA from 1 species